UACGUAGGGGGCAAGCGUUGUCCGGAUUCAUUGGGCGUAAAGAGCGUGUAGGCGGCCAGAUAGGUCAGCUGUGAAAACUCGGGGGCUCAACCCCGAGACGUCGGUUGAAACCAUCUGGCUAGAGUCCGGAAGAGGAGUGUGGAAUUCCCGGUGUAGCGGUGAAAUGCGCAGAUAUCGGGAAGAACACCCGUGGCGAAGGCGGCACUCUGGGACGGUACUGACGCUGAGACGCGAAAGCGUGGGGAGCGAACAGG
rnacentral:rRNA from 1 species